rnacentral:rRNA from 1 species
AGAUUGAACGCUGGCGGCAGGCUUAACACAUGCAAGUCGAGCGGUAGCACAGGGGAGCUUGCUCCCUGGGUGACGAGCGGCGGACGGGUGAGUAAUGUCUGGGAAACUGCCUGAUGGAGGGGGAUAACUACUGGAAACGGUAGCUAAUACCGCAUAACGUCGCAAGACCAAAGAGGGGGACCUUCGGGCCUCUUGCCAUCAGAUGUGCCCAGAUGGGAUUAGCUAGUAGGUGGGGUAAUGGCUCACCUAGGCGACGAUCCCUAGCUGGUCUGAGAGGAUGACCAGCCACACUGGAACUGAGACACGGUCCAGACUCCUACGGGAGGCAGCAGUGGGGAAUAUUGCACAAUGGGCGCAAGCCUGAUGCAGCCAUGCCGCGUGUGUGAAGAAGGCCUUCGGGUUGUAAAGCACUUUCAGCGAGGAGGAAGGUGGUGAGCUUAAUACGCUCAUC